GGAUCCGCCUCAAACUUCAGCUUUUUCCGAUGGAUGAAGUCCCUCCUGACGCCCUCCUGCAGGAGCCUGAGGUCCACCGGGGAGCAGAUCAUCUUGGCACCAUCCCCAGCCAAGGUAGACAUGGCAAUGACUCAGCUUACCCAGGAGAACACAGACUUUGCCACCCGGGAUCGCUACCACCAUUCCUCCCUCGUGAGUCGGGAACAGCUGAUGCCUCCCUUCUAGAACUUUGAUGGACCCCCACUUCCUAGAAGCUGCUCUGGAGAUGGGGACCCAAACCUCAGAACCUUUGGAAACUUAUUCCACCAAUGAGAAACCCCAACACUGGUCUUUCCACCACAGCCUUGGACGCCAAAAAUCACAUUCUGGUCUGAAGUGACAUGUCUGCGGAGACACUAGGUGUGACCAUGGCUUCCACAUGUACCCAACCUGAACCCACAGGCCACCAGGGUGAUCAGGUGACACUAAGACACUCAGACGUGGAAAACCAAAACCAGAUUUCUUAUUGUAAGGGCCACAGUAAACAUUUAUUUUAUGUACUACACUCACAUGGUUCCAAGUCACAAAGUAUAAUUAUAUGCAGGGUUAAAAAUCUCCUCCUCCUUGGUCCUCAUCGGCUUGGUGCCCAUCCCCCACCACAGAGGUAACCACUUCUCUCUCACACACACACACCUCAAGAAUCUCUUUACAAUUAGGAAAGGGGUUCUUAUCCCUUCUCAUCCACAAAUGCAGCUCUGUAUACACACACUCCACAGCAUCUUGCCUUCUCCCUUAAUCUGCCUUGGAAGCAUUUCCAUGAUGGUGCUUACACAGUUUCCUCAUUAUGUCUUGAUGUCUGAAUGUGCCAUAAUUUAUUUAAUCAGUCUCACGAUGACAGCAUUUUGAUAUACUUCUGCAAUGAGUCAUUCUGUUUGUAUGCACAGCCAUGAAGCAUACCUGCAGAUAAGUUCUCAGUAGGAGAGUGCAGGACCAGUGGUGAUGUGCACGUGUAAGCUGGUACUGUUUGGAGAAAUGCUUUUUAGUUAAUGAGUCAAAUAACUGUCCAGGCAUGGAAGUCACCUGGACUUGAGAAAUGAGACAGGAGGAUCAAAAGUUUGAAGCCAAUCUAGGCUGUACAACAGGACUCUUUAUCAAAAUAGGUGGGGAGAAGAGAAGGAAAUAAAUUAUUAUGAAUUGCCUAA